rnacentral:tRNA from 1 species
CGCGGGGUGGAGCAGCUCGGUAGCUCGCUGGGCUCAUCACCCAGAGGGCGUCGUUUAGAAUCCUGCCCCCGCUACUA